GUGAAAACAAUACCAGCCUAAUACUAAUAGAGAGAAAAUAUAUUUGUUUGUUUAUGAGUCCAAUAGAUCUCCCUCUGUCUCACAGGGGCCCUGCACUUAAAAUUUUGCUCUUUAACACAACAGGAGAGAGGGAGUCUGCUGCUUUACUCAGACUGCUGGUGCCCUGCCAGUUUGACCAGGCACUGUUCUGCCCCAACAUUACUGAAACACCUAUUAACAAUACAGCACCUGUUGGCUCGCUGCAGAGAAAACCAGAGCAGCUAGCAGAGACUGAAUGCAACAGAAACAAUACAUAACCACCAUCGCCACCUGGUGACCAGCUCUGUAAGUCAGAGCCUGGUGUUCCCCUGCAUCCUGAGCGCCCUCCAGUGGAUCAACCAGGGAAAUCAGUUGAUGUUGACCCCAUCUGGAUCACUGGGCUUCACUGAGCUCCCUGACAGGCUGAGAGAGGCAGGUCAAGUCUCUGUGCUGGUGACCGGCAGUCUGCACCUGGUGGGAGGAGUACUGAAACAUCUUGAACCUUCACUGGACUCAUAGAAGCCCAGCUUGGUCCCCAGAGAGAAUCACUCACACUCCAGGACAUACAAUCACACACACUCAUACACAGAGUCCUAGCGGACUGGCAUGGAGGUGCUGCCGCUUACUCUCAGCAGCUAACUUGGAGCACCCUGGAUGGAGUGCUGCAUUGCACUUGAUGGAGAACCUUUGACUGAAAGCAUCGUUCUGCACUAACUGGAAACCUCAGCAGACUGCUUUACCAUGGAGUUUGGAAGAGUUUGGUCCAGAUAUCAGAGGACAGUGCUGAUCACCAUGAUGAUGUUCAAACUGGGUCUUCUGUGCACAGUUGCAGCAGACAAGUGUCUAUCAUCUCCCUGCAACAAUGGUGCCACGUGUCUUGCCCACCUGGAUGACUAUGUGUGCCUGUGCCCCAAAGGACCAGUGUGGUACAUGGGCAAAAACUGUGAUGAGCUGUAUGAUGCCUGUAUCAUUUCACCUUGCACCAACUGUACUAGCUCACCUGGGGCUGUUGAGUUCACCUGCCACUGCCCGGACGGCUUCACAGGGCUCAACUGCACCCAGGAUGUAGAUGAAUGUCACAGCAAUCCCUGUAUUGGUAUCAAGUCCUACUGUGUCAACGAAAUCAACGGAUAUUCCUGUCAUUGUCCCACUGGAUUAGGAGGGGAGGAAUGCCAGGAUAAUGUGACCACUUGUUCAGAGGAGAAAUGCCAGAAUGGUGGCACCUGUGUGGACAUCAAUGACAUUGGGCACCGGUGCCAGUGUGCUGCUGGGUACCAGGGGACGAACUGUGAGGAGAACACUGAUGAAUGCCAGUCUGAACCCUGUCAGAACGGAGCCAUCUGUAAAGACGGGGUCAACGCCUACCAGUGUUUCUGUGUGCCUGGAUUUCAAGGCUACCACUGUGAUUUAGACAUCAAUGAGUGUGCCUCCCGACCCUGUCAAAACAAUGGUACAUGUCUGGAUGAAGUGGAUCACUACAUGUGUGACUGUGCUCCAGGCUUCAAAGGGAUUAACUGCGAGGUGGAGAUCAAUGAGUGCGAGGAGCAUCCCUGCCAGAAUGGUGCCACCUGCCAAGACUACGUUGCCACAUACAGGUGUGAGUGCAUGGCCGGCUUCCAGGGCCAAGACUGCGAGGUCAAUAUUGAUGAAUGUGCCAGCAUGCCCUGUCUGAAUGAGGGAAAGUGCAUAGACGGGGUCAACAGCUAUGAAUGUGACUGUGAGGGGACAGGCUUUGUAGGCGACCACUGUGAAGAGGAUAUUCCUGAAUGUGCUUCUGACCCCUGCAAGAAUGGAGCCACCUGCUUGGAGGGAAUCAACCAGUACAAGUGCCUUUGCUGGCCAGGUUAUGAGGGAGAUAACUGCCAGGUGGAUAUAGAUGAGUGUGAGCAGCAUCCCUGUGAGAAUGGUGGCGAGUGUUUCCAGCGAUCAGAUACCCUUAACUACAGGAUUUUGCCUGAACUCAACACAACCAAUCUCACAUACGAAGGGGCAGCUGGCUUCAUCUGCCACUGUCUGCCAGGGUUCACCGGAGACAACUGCUCAGUCAAUGUGGACGAAUGUGAGUCUGCUCCAUGUCAGCAUGGAGGAAUCUGCCAGGAUCUGGUCAACUCUUAUCGAUGUGUGUGUCCAAACGGCUUCACAGGUGUACACUGUGAGGAAGACAUAAACGAGUGUGACAGCUAUCCCUGCCAGAAUGGUGCCAAGUGUGAAGAUGCCGCCAACUCCUACAGGUGUCACUGCCCGAUGCCAGAGCCUGCCCAGGAGCCCUGGGGUGGGCGACACUGUGAUGUCCGCCUGGUGGGCUGCCAACAGCAUCAGUGUCAACACAAAGCAGGUUGUGUCCCCAUGCUUACCGAUGAUGGACAGCACAGCUACACCUGCCUGUGUCCGCCUGGCUGGGCUGGAGAACACUGCAACACUUCAACCACCUUCUCCUUUAACUCAGAGGGCUACAUCCACAUGCAGCUGCCUAUUUCCAAAAACAGGACUAGGCGAGAGACUGAUGACCAUAACACUGGGCUCCACAUGCAGCUCCGAUUCAAGAGCACUCUCCCUGACAUGUUGCUUUACUUCCGGGGCACCAUGGAGCACUUCUUCUCCUUGGAGCUUGUUAGUGGCUCCCUCAAGGCCAUGUUGAAGUCAGGAAAGGUACUACAAGUCAUUUACCCUGGCCGGGUCAAUGAUGGAGAAUGGCACCAGGUCUCUGUGACCAUGGAUGAGAGGCUGGUUCUGGUUGUAAAAGGACUUGACUGUGAGGAAGGGUGUCAGGUGAAGAAUGAGGGCCACAACCAUCUGAUCUUCCUACAGCCCAGCUCCUUUCAACAGCUGUAUGUAGGAGGGGCACCUCAGGAAUAUUUAGGCCAUACAUCCAAUGGGAGGGGGUUCAUUGGGUGUAUGGAAGACCUUCAUGUUGACCAUAAGCUGCUUCUGCCUCAGGACCUCAUCAGAGAGGAGAACCAGGGCUUGGAACUGGGAUGUACAAAAAAAGACUGGUGUCACGAGGACCCAUGCAUGCAACGUGGGCAGUGUGUGGACAUGUGGGUUCGUGCCAGUUGUCAGUGUCACCGGCCCUACUACGGAGAAAGCUGUGAGAAAGCAUACCCAUCCUGGACUUUCGGCUAUGAGAACACCAACAGCUACGCUGCCUUCAAUAUCUCGGAAAACCAUGGAGACAACUUCACCAUUUCCUUUUUGAUGCGCUCCCUCAAACCCAACGGUCUGCUUUUGCAGCUCAGUCGAGAAGGAAAGCCCUACCUGACAAUCUACCUGAAGGAAGGCACCGUUGCUAUUUACAGCCCUCACACCACACUGCUGUCAGAAGACAAAUUUGUCACUGAUGGCAACACUAAUUUGGUGACUGUUAAGGUACACUAUGGCCAUGUGGUCUUCCCCAAAGCGGGGAACCACCGUGCCUUAGGGAACGUGAGUGUAGAGGCAGGGGAUGUGGCGUAUGUUGGAGGGCUCCCUGUAGGCAAGAGCAUGAAUGCCUGGGGUGGAAACUUCAAGGGCUGCCUGCAGGACAUUCGGCUGGACCACAAGCAUCUGACUGCUGAAGCUCAUCCUGAGAGGGUGGAGGUUUACCAGGCGAGCACAGAGAACGUGUUGCCAGGAUGCCAUAGUGAUGACACAUGCAAGGAUGAGCCCUGUUUCAAUGGCGGUCAGUGUCAGGUCACCUGGAAUGACUUCAAGUGUAACUGUUCCAUUAACUACUCAGGCCGGCUGUGUGAGACACGUCGAUGGUGUGUUGACAACCCUUGUUUUGAUGGAGUGCGCUGUGUGGACCUGCAGGAUGGUUAUGAGUGUUUGACUGAAGCCAUUUUUCAGGACAACUCUCUCCAGUAUGUUGCCAACAGCUCCCUGCUGAGCCCUGUAAUCAACAUCACAAUGGACAUACGGACACGAGACGAGAAUGGAAUCUUGUUACGGGCCACCAGCAGAUCCGAGGUCUUCUGCCUGGGACUGCUCAACUCCUCCCUGCUGGUCAAACUGGACAGUGGGUUGAGUACUGAGCUGCUGGCCUUCACAAGUGAUAGGACUAUUGCAGAUGGAGUGUGGCACCAUAUCCAGCUGACCAUGGUCGACCCUGCACAGCCAGUGUCCCGCUGGCGCCUUACUGUGGAUGGGCAGAGAGCGGGUGGCAGCUUUGGUGCUGGCGGCAACCUCAACUUCCUCAAUCAUACUAAAAUCUGGCUGGCUGAGAAAUACACUGGAUGUUUAGGGGAGGUGAGAGUGGGUGGAGUCUACCUGCCACUCAUUAAUGUACCAGAUACCCCUCAGGUGAGCCAGUUCUACAGACUGGGUGGGCGUGAGCCAAUCAUAGGAUGCCAAGGUGCACCAAUUUGUGAUUCCCAGCCCUGCCUCAACCAGGGCGAGUGUCAGGACCAGUUUAAUGAGUUUAAUUGCAGCUGCAGCUCAGGAUGGGAGGGGGAGCUGUGUGAGAUAGAGAUAAAUGAGUGUUCUUCAGGUCCCUGUGUCUACGGUACAUGUAAAGACCUCCAGGCAGACUAUAAGUGUGACUGUGAGCCUGGAUACACAGGUAAAGACUGUCAGGAGGAGUUGGAUAACUGUCUGGAGUUCAGCUGUGUGAACGGAGGAACCUGCCUGGAAACGGUGGAAACUCUCACGUGUUCAUGUCCUCCUGGCUAUGUCGGCAAGCGCUGCCAGUGGCGUUUCCCUCCAGUGGCAUGUGAUGCAAAAACAGAAUGUCUUAAUGGAGGGGUUUGUAUAGGAGGCAACUCUGGUGGAAAUUGCACCUGCAAACCUGGAUACACUGGUGCCAGGUGUGAGACAGAAAUAGACGAGUGUCAGUCCAGCCCUUGUCUCAACGGUGCCACCUGUCUGGACAGACUCAACCACUUCCAGUGUGUGUGUGUUCCGGGCUUCAGUGGCAUUCUGUGUGAGAGCAACCAGAAAGAGGAGCAUAAGGAGCGAGUUCCCUGGCUUGCUGUGACCAUCCCUCUCACCACCCUGUGUGUGUUACUCGCCAUCCUGGUGGUGUUUUUCCUCAUCAUGACGGCCCGGAAGAAACGUCAAUCUGAGGGCACAUACAGCCCCAGCUCACAGGAGGUAGCUGGUGCCAGGCUGGAGAUGGGCAGUGUCCUCAAAGUGCCGCCAGAGGAGAGGCUGAUCUGAGUCCUGCAGCCCUGCCUCUUACAUCUAGUGGAUGCAUCUAUCUAUACGGCCUAGAGAACACUUACUCUGCAGUGUCACACUGCUGGGCUCUCUCACCCUACAGGGAAAUGCUGGAGGAUAAGUCAAUGACUGAUCCUCUGCCUAGGAAAACUACUGACGUUGAAGCCUCAGAGGUGGACAGGUUUUCAUUCAUCCAAAGACUCCACCAGCUUCUGUCACUGAGUAGUCCCUCCUUAUCUAAACUGCUGCAGUCUUCACUGUGAAUAAAAAGAUGCAAACAGUUCAGGUGAUGGAACAUAUCUCUCCAGAACCCUCUCCAAUGUGCAGAUGGACACCACUGCAGCUUCUGCAGGCAUCAAAAACUGUUUUGUUAUAAUUACUGUCAAUGUGCACUGUAUGGCUAACACGCUAACCACUUUACCAAUUUUUGUUAUUGUGUAAGUAUGCUAUGAGUGUUUUUAUCCAUGUAAUUGUGUUGUGUAUAAUUUGUUUCAAAAGUUCAAGUCACUGUAUUUUGGUUUUGUUACAUCUUCAAGGGAAACGGUAUUUAAUUGUAGAAAUCUUUUUUGGCAAAGGUGGUCACAUUAGGAUUUGUGGACAUAAAUAACCAAGUGUCACAAAUUAAAAGGGAGAAUUAAUUUGCAAAGAAUGUCUAAUUGUAGUUAACAUUUUUCUUUCCAAGAGUGAGUUAAGAAGAAUUAAGCCUAUCUGUAUGUGUUAAAUACAGAGCUGGAGGCAGAUAUAGUUAGCCUUGCUUAGAAUAAAGACUGAACGCAGGGGGAGACAGCUAGCAAGGCUCUUUUCAGAGUGAAAAGAUAUACCUACUAACACCUCUAAAGCUCACUGAUAAACACAUUACAUCUCAAUUGUUUAAUCCACACACAAACAAAUGUAAAAGUUAAUGACUAUUUGUAAUUAUUAGGGGACUAUUUCUUGGCAAACAGCAGCUGGGUGCAGUGACUGUGUACAGGUCACAGUGUUGUUGCCAGGUUUGGUACAAUCAUUCCAGUAGAGACUGAAUCUAAAACCUGUCUUCAGAUUGUUUCUGGCAACACAACCAACAGCCAGAGACAAUGCACAGAAAUAGCGGAUGGACGGAGAAAGUGUUGUGUGAUUCUCCCUUAAACCAGAAGGUGUAAUUUUUACUUUUAAUUUGGUGUAUGCAUUAAACAAACAUACAAUGUGUUACCUAUUGAAAUUUACAUGUGUUUGUAGACAUAUUUUUGAACUUUGGACAGAGCUGUUCCCCCCCUGCUUCCAGUCUUUGCACCAAGCUAGGCUAACCACUUCCUGACUCCAGCUCUGUACUCAACACACAGAUAUAAGGUUGCUAUCCAUCCCCUUAUCUCCCUCUUGGAAAAAAAAAAGAAACAUAAAGGUAUUGUUUAUGUCAGUAAUAUAGUGUCAAGUCACCAUUUUCAUUUAUACAAUCUAAUGAGGAUGCUAAAGAUAAACCUACUAUCUAGCUUUGGAAUAAUGUUUCACAAAUACUGAUUAGACCAUCCUUGACCUUAAUAGUGUGGCAAAGGAUUCUUCAUUUCAGUUAAGAAUUUUUAAACUGUGAAUUUGCCCUUACUGUCUUAUGCAACUAUUCUCAUAUCUGUACCCCAGGAAGUCACACCACUCACUUGCCUUUCACGCUGUAGUCACCAGUGCUGCUAACUUUACUAAACCAGUUAACUAGAAUGCAGACUGACACUCUGUGCCAGUUUCAUGCUAAUAGAGAAAGAACAGUUUGUGAAAUGGAAGAUACAUGCAAGUCACAGCUGAAUAUGAAUUAGUAAAACACUGGUCAAUAAUAUCGAAUGUAGUAUUACAUGUCUUCUUAAAGGGGCAAAAAGUAGGAAUUUGAUCAUGACCUAUCCUUUGUUGGGCUGUUUUUUGUCUAGGCCUCUUUGUUUCAAUGAAGGGAAAUCUUAGUGGUACAGCAUACAGUAAUAUUUCAGACAACAGUGCUUCAAGCUUCAUUGCACCAGUUUCAUUCUUUUCUUUUCCUUUUUCAGCAUGAUAAUGUGCACAAAGCCAGAUACAUAAAGAAUUGUUUUUUUCCCAGUUUUGUGUGGAAGGGCAUGCACAGAGCCCUAAACUCAAUCCCAUUCAACAACUUCUGGAAGAAUUAGGACACCAACUGUGAGCCAGACCUUAUCAUCCAACACCAGUGUGGGACCUCACUAAUACUCUUGUGGCUAAAUGGGAGCAAAUCCCUGCAACCAGGUUCAACAUCUGGUGGAAAGGUUUUGGAAAUACAUGUUCUGGAGAUAGAUAUGGGUGUAAUGUUCAGGUGUCCGUAUACUUUUUGGGUCAGAUCUACCAGAGGGCAGGACCCUCCAAGGAUUCAGUAAUACUCCGGCUUAUGUUUAUGUUUCACUACAAAUGCAGAAAUCUGAUGUGAUUUACUAAGUAGAGUAGAAAAAUGAAAAAAAGUUUUAAAAAUUUCUGACCCAUCAAGGCAUUUAGUGUAAGUAUGCCCUCAUAAAAAGUGGCUUCUUUAUCAUUUACAGUAAAUUCAUGUCUUCAUUUGGGACAAAUUUUAAUUAGAGAAAGGCUUUGUAAUUUUGCCGGCUUCCCUGUCAAUAUAAACUUCUUCCAUGUUUACCUGUUGUCUUUUUAAAGUCAAUAUAACAUCCAUUUCCACAGUACUAAUUUCAUUUACAAGGAGUCAGGUCAGGCAUUUAUCUUUGCAUUUUUCUGUGAAUGAUGUUAAGCUACCAUGAAUGAAACACAACACAUCCUUCAUAAUUUUCAAAUAAAAUUCUUGUAGCCUUCUGUUUAUAACUAGGCUUUUAAUGUGAAGGAAAAAAAAGUGUUGAGUUUUGUUGAGGGCAGUUUAACAUCAAUCAGAAUUACGGCAAAAAAGAAACAACUUGAAUUACAGUACGAAAUCAAAGAAACUCAGAGCAGCAGUACUAUUGUACUGAGGGAAUUAUUGCUAUAGAAAUGGGCAUUAUACCAUAGUUUACCACACAAGCUAUUGUAGUAGGCUAAAGGUAAUUCCACCCCACUCAAUAUUUUUUUACCCAGCCUAGACUGGCGUUUAUUUGUUCAUUCAGGCUAUUACUUGAAACCCAACCAUUGUAUGAAUACUAGCUUUUAUAUAAGAAUUUACUGUAUGAGGAUGCAGGGCUCCCUCCUUGUAGUGUUAAAUAAAGGUCAGAAAUCUUCUUUGCUCCUUUAAAAUGACUGCAGGGACUGUACAGAUAUGUACAUGAUGAGACAGUAUGUGCCUUCAUCUUCUCCUGCAUCCAUUACACCCAAGCAUCCUGUGAUUGUUUUGAUGUUAGACAGAUUAAAGCCUCUUUGUACACUGUACUUCAGAAGGCGAGGUCACUGACAGAAACCUCAUUGUGAGAACUGUAUCUCUGCACAAAUAUUCAAAUGUUGUUUGAUGCAUUAUGGUAUUAUACAGACAUACAUUAUUAUAUGAUACUAUAACAUAACAGGACAUAUAAAUAUCCCAGCUAUGUACAGAAUGAUAGUGAUUUUACACUGGAGUUGUUUUUACUAAAGCUGUACCAUGUAUAGCAAACUGUAGAUGAAUACAUGAUGAGUUCUAUUCCAAAUUUGUACUGAGAACCCUUGUCUAUUUGAGGAGGAUUUAUGAUUAGUUUGUAAAGUAAGAUGUAUACUUUCAAUCAAAGUGUAUAGUUACACUGAAAUUUUGUGUAUAUAGUGGGAAAUGGCGCUUUAAUUGGUAGAUAUGAAAUUGUCUCAAACAGUGUUCAAGGAAAAAUAAAAAACAAAGGAAAUAAA